UGACCGAGCAACGCCGCGUGAGUGAAGAAGGUCUUCGGGUGUAAAGCUCUGUAUUAGGGAAGAAAGAGAUUAGAAGGAAAUGACUAAUCAGUGACGGUACCUAAUGAGAAAGCCACGGCUAACUACGUGCCAGCAGCCGCGGUAAUACGUAGGUGGCAAGCGUUGUCCGGAAUUAUUGGGCGUAAAGAGUGCGUAGGCGGUCUAUUAAGUUCUAUUUGAAAGCCCAUGGCUUAACCAUGGAGGGUGAUAGGAAACUGGUAGACUUGAGUACAGGAGAGGAAGGUGGAAUUCCACGUGUAGCGGUGAAAUGCGUAGAUAUGUGGAGGAACACCAGUGGCGAAGGCGGCCUUCUGGCCUGUCACUGACGCUGAUGCACGAAAGCGUGGGUAGCAAACAGGAUUAGAUACCCUGGUAGUCCACGCCGUAAACGAUGAGUACUAAGUGUUGGGGGAAACCUCGGUGCUGAAGUUAACGCAUUAAGUACUCCGCCUGGGAAGUACGGUCGCAAGACUG
rnacentral:rRNA from 1 species